AUUGAACGCUGGCGGUAUGCUUUACACAUGCAAGUCGAACGGUAGAGGGGGCAACCCCUCGAGAGUGGCGAACGGGUGAGUAAUAUAUCGGAACGUGCCCAGUCGUGGGGGAUAACGUAGCGAAAGUUACGCUAAUACCGCAUACGAUCUAAGGAUGAAAGCGGGGGAUCGCAAGACCUCGCGCGAUUGGAGCGGCCGAUAUCAGAUUAGGUAGUUGGUGGGGUAAAGGCUCACCAAGCCAACGAUCUGUAGCUGGUCUGAGAGGACGACCAGCCACCCUGGAACUGAGACACGGUCCAGACUCAUACGGGAGGCAGCAGUGGGGAAUUUUGGACAAUGGCCGCAAGUCUGAUCCAGCCAUGCCGCGUGCAGGAUGACGGCCCUCGGGUUGUAAACUGCUUUUGUACGGAACGAAAAGGUCUCUCUUAAUACGGGGGACUCAUGACGGUACCGUAAGAAUAAGCACCGGCUAACUACGUGCCAGCCGCCGCCGUAA
rnacentral:rRNA from 1 species